UUCCCUGCUUGAGGUCUGACACCUCCUCCAUGGAGCCUUCCUAGUCUUCAGGGUCUAAAUCAACUUCUCAUUCCCUGACCUAUUCCC